AUUGAACGCUGGCGGCAGGCUUAACACAUGCAAGUCGAGCGAGCGGCGGACGGGUGAGUAAUGUCUGGGAAACUGCCUGAUGGAGGGGGAUAACUACUGGAAACGGUAGCUAAUACCGCAUACCAUCAGAUGUGCCCAGAUGGGAUUAGCUAGUAGGGGGGUUAAUGGCUCACCUAGGCGACGAUCCCUAGCUGGUCUGAGAGGCUGACCGUCCACACUGGAACGUGUGCAUGGUCCAGACUCCUACGGGAGGAAGCAGUGGGGAAUAGUGGACAAUGGGCGCAAGCCUGAUGCAGCCAUGCCGCGUGUGUGAAGAAGGCCUUCGGGUUUUAAAGCACUUUCAGCGAGGAGGCGUUACUCGCAGAAGAAGCACCGGCUAACUCCGGGCCAGCAGCCGCGGUAAUAC
rnacentral:rRNA from 1 species